rnacentral:rRNA from 1 species
AAUAGAUACCCAGGUAGUCCAUGCUGUAAACGAUGAGAACUAGAUGUUAGGGGGCAUGACCUCUUAGUAUCGAAGCUAACGCGAUAGGUUCUCCGCCUGGGGAGUACGGCCGCAAGGUUAAAACUCAAAGAAAUUGACGGGGGCCCGCACAAGCGGUGGAGCAUGUGGUUUAAUUCGAUGCAACGCGAAGAACCUUACCUACCUUUGAAUCCACGGAACCUAGCAGAGAUGUUGGGGUGCCUUCGGGAACCAUGAGACAGGUGCUGCAUGGCUGUCGUCAGCUCGUGUCGUGAGAUGUUGGGUUAAGUCCCGUAACGAGCGCAACCCUUGUCCUUAGUUGCCAUCAGGUUAUGCUGGGCACUUUAAGGAGACUGCCGGUGAUAAACCGGAGGAAGGUGGGGAUGACGUCAAGUCCUCAUGGCCCUUACAGGUAGGGCUACACACGUGCUACAAUGGGCAGUACAGAGGGAAGCCAACCCGCGAGGGGGAGCGAAUCUCAUAAAGCUGUUCGUAGUCCGGAUUGGAGU